CGGGGACAACAUUCCAAAGGGAUGCUAAUACCGGAUGUGACGCUCCUAUCGCAUGACGGGAGCGUGAAAGAUGGCCUCUACAUGUAAGCUAUCGCUAAAGGAUGGGCCUGCGUCUGAUUAGCUAGUUGGUAGUGUAACGGACAACCAAGGCGAUGAUCAGUAGCCGGUCUGAGAGGAUGAACGGCCACAUUGGGACUGAGACACGGCCCAG
rnacentral:rRNA from 1 species